rnacentral:rRNA from 1 species
AUUAACGCUGGCGGCGUGCAUAAGACAUGCAAGUCGAACGGACGGGCGAGCUUGCUCGCCCGUUAGUGGCGGACGGCUGAGUAACGCGUGGGUGACCUGCCCCGAAGUGGGGAAUAACUGCCCGAAAGGGUGGCUAAUACCGCAUGUGGUGACUGGUUCGUUCCAGUCUCCAAAGCCGCAAAGGCGCUUCGGGAGGGGCCUGCGUCCGAUUAGCUCGUUGGUGGGUAACGGCUCACCAAGGCGACGAUCGGUAGGUG